rnacentral:rRNA from 1 species
AUUGAACGCUGGCGGCAGGCCUAACACAUGCAAGUCGAGCGGAGCGGCGGACGGGGGAGUAAUGCCUAUGAAUCUGCCUGGUAGUGGGGGAUAGCGUCCGGAAACGGGCGCUAAUACCGCAUACUAUCAGAUGAGCCUAGGUCGGAUUAGCAAGUUGGUGGGGUAAAGGCCUACCAAGGCGACGAUCCGUAACUGGUCUGAGAGGAUGAUCAGUCACACUGGAACUGAGACACGGUCCAGACGCCUACGGGAGGCAGCAGUGGGGAAUAUUGGACAAUGGGCGAAAGCCUGAUCCAGCCAUGCCGCGUGUGUGAAGAAGGUCUUCGGAUUGUAAAGCACUUUAAGUUGGGAGGCGUUACCAGCAGAAGAAGCACCGGCUAACUCCGUGCCAGCCGCCGCGGUAAUAC